GAUGAACGCUGGCGGCGUGCUUAACACAUGCAAGUCGAACGGAAAGGCUCCUGCUUGCAGGGGUACUCGAGUGGCGAACGGGUGAGUAACACGUGGGUGAUCUGCCCUGCACUUCGGGAUAAGCCUGGGAAACUGGGUCUAAUACCGGAUAGGACGAUGGUUUGGAUGCCAUUGUGGAAAGUUUUUCGGUGUGGGAUGAGCUCGCGGCCUAUCAGCUUGUUGGUGGGGUAAUGGCCUACCAAGGCGUCGACGGGUAGCCGGCCUGAGAGGGUGUACGGCCACAUUGGGACUGAGAUACGGCCCAGACUCCUACGGGAGGCAGCAGUGGGGAAUAUUGCACAAUGGGCGCAAGCCUGAUGCAGCGACGCCGCGUGGGGGAUGACGGCCUUCGGGUUGUAAACUCCUUUCGCUAGGGACGAAGUGCAAGUGACGGUACCUGGAGAAGAAGCACCGGCUAACUACGUG
rnacentral:rRNA from 1 species